rnacentral:lncRNA from 1 species
UGGAGACUCUGAAUACAAGUGGUCCACAACCUUGAUUCUUGUAACUCACACAGUGACAAUAGGAGUAGGAACUAUAGCAGCAGCUUUUAGAUGGUUCAGAGCCAUAAAUUUCCGGUGCCCCAAAAAAGCAAAUAAUGCCUGCAAGUUCAAGUUGUUCAAAGUAGAGAACUACUGGAUCCGCAUGCUGCUUCAGUGGAAAGAAAGCCCGUUGGAUUUCAGAUAUUGUGGUAGACAUGGUAGAAAAUUUGCUCAUAAAACAAAGAACAAACUUCUUGAUUUCUGCAUUUGGAUGCAAAUUCUGAUGGUGUCACUUAGUAAGCUAGUCUGGCUCAUUUCCAUUUUCUUGGUAAGUUGGUCACUGAUAAGCUGUCGCAAAGCAAUCAAGAUGCUAAAAUGCAACAGUAUGGUGUCAAGUGUUGAUACAGAGUUAGGGUCCCGAACCAGUUCAAAACCAGAUCUUAGCCACUAUGCUUUACACCUUCAAGGAGAGGAAGCAUUUAUUGAUUUGAUUAUGCAAAGCAACCGUGAUGUGGUAGAUCAUUGGAUUGAGAUGGGGAAAAAGAAGCAGCCUAAACAUCUUCUAAGAUUUUUGGAGAAACUGAAAUCAUCACCAGGAUUCAAAGGAGUGCAUGAAUUUGACAGUGCUCACAUUCCUUCACUAGACUUGGAAGAUCCUCCUAAUUGCUGGGCUCUCCCUGUAGUGACACUAACAAGCAUAGCAAUUGCACUUCCAAACAUGGAGUUCCAUUCGAUCAAGGAACUAAUCAGGUGUGUGCAUGAAGGUCUCAUGUACAUCAAAGUAGUGGAAGAUAACCUGGAUGCAAGAAAAGAUAACUUCAGGCAUCCCAAAGUUGACUAAGAAACAAAUUCCACCUUGUAUGUAUGGUCGUUACAUAUUGUUUUAUAACUUCUUGUAUUAUAUUGCGUUUGUAUUGCAAUGUACUAUUUUGAUGAAUACAAUGUUGAGCUACAAUAAUUCCAAUAUAUCAAACCAUCUGGUGUAUACUAUGCUCACAACAUCUACAUUCAGACUCCUAAUCUGAAGUGUACUAAUGUAUUCCAUGAGGUUUUUACUACUUCCUAUACAUUCUGCCCAGCACUAAACAGACAGUUUAGGUGAGUUUGGUAUCGUCUGCAUUAGAUCGAAGACGCACACACUGCCCUCUCCGGACUCCACUUGUGGGAUUACAUUGGGUAGGCUAUUGUUAUUGUUGUCGAAGUCAAAAAACACGCCCCAACGUUGUGAAGCCACUGUACAGUGCAAAACUAGGGGGUUGUUUCCUUCUAUCCCUAACAAAAAGAUUCAAUCUUUCACAUGAUCACAUCUCUUUUACUCCUUCCAAAAUCAUCAAGAACCAAAUGCCAGAAUAAAAAGAAAAAAGAUUCCAGGGCCAAAAAGAAAGAUACAUGCAAAACCAACAACUGAAAUAAGCAAAAAUGUAAAGAUUCAAGGUUCAAAGGAAGAAAUAAUUAAUCACAUAUGAAAGAAUAUUUACACAAUUCAAUGAUUCCACAGAUUACAAAAGCCCGACAGAUCAUGUAAAAAUACGACUAACUUGAACUCUUUACGAAUUAACACCAUUGAAUUUGUUACAUUAGCAGGAUGUCUUCUUCCAGCAGCUACUCCAAUCCUCCAUGCGCGGCGUAAAAAUUCUUGAGAAGAAAAUGCUUGCCUAGUUGCAGUUUUGUACCUUAUUUUCCUCCGAGGAGCCAAUAAAGUUCACAACAGUACACAAAGUAUUCUGCGCCAGUAAUGUGAGCAAGCUUCUGAAUGAAAUCCAGCCUCAUCAGAGAGAAGAUGCUGUCAAUUCUCUUGCUUAUGAAGCCGAGGUGCGAUUAAAAGAUCCUGUCUAUGGUUGUGUUGGGGCAAUUUCAGUUCUUCAAAGACAAGUCAUUCUACUCCAGAAGGAACUCGAUGCCACCAAUGCUGAUUUAAUGCGAUAUGCAAAUAACUAUGAACGAGUUUACAAUAAUGAAAUUAUGGUAAAUCAAAUGGUUAAUUCUGGUUAAAUAACAGUAAGGGUAUUUUUGAACCAAAGUAUUAACGGCAAGGGCAUUUUUGGACCAAAGUAUUAACGGCAAGGGCAUUUUUGGACCAAAGUACUAACAGCAACGGCAUUUUUGUUCAUUUCAUAUAGUAUAAGGACAUUUUUGACCCUUUUUCCUUUUUGGAAUAGUAGAUAAGUAAGAGCAAAGAGAGAGAUACCUUAUAAAACAAUCAGUGGUCUGAUGGACCCAUGAAGUGAGCUAAUCAACCUGGUCACCAUGUUUGUAUUGUACCUAUCGUUCCACCUUUGACUAGCAGACAAUCUUGGCCCUUGAUAUAGACGCUUCAGAUAGUUUCCAAAAAAAUUUCUAAAAAUAUGCUUGACUUUAUUGUAAUAAACACAUCAGAGGAACCCCUUCAGCAAUCAAAGCCUAUUAUGACUCAUCAACUUUCAAAUGCACAAUGAUGUCAUAAUCAGCCAUCCAACUUUGCUGACUUUCCUAAUAUCAUUCAACAGGUGAAAUCAUCCAUGACCAAAUCAAAUUAACUGGACAAAUUUCAGCGAAAUCCAGGAGAAAACAGGAAAUACCUUGUAAGAGAGUGGAAGAAACAAAUACUCAAGAGUAGAAACACCCCUCAAGAAAUUCUCAAAUACUCCAUCUUAGAUAAACAUUUCAGCUUUUAAACAAGAUGGGAAAGAUUGGUUGCACCAUAGAUGGAAACCUAGACGACUCGAAAUUCAGCGAGCCGAUGCCAUGGAUCGGUAUCUAUGUUGCAGCAGCAUCUGCAGCUUGUGCACUGGCCAUGAUGAUGGAUGUCCUUCAUGGCCUGCGCUGGAGAAAGUUCUGGUUUCCUUGCCACUGCUUCUCUCUCAACGCUACAACUUUGACGCUCCUAACUGUUGCCACCAAGUUGUCUGUUGAUCUAAAUACCUCCAUGCCUCAACGACAAGAUCAGCUGGCAAAACUUAGCAGUGCUGCUCUAAUCUGUACGGUAAUUGCUAAUUUUCUGCCUUCUUUAGGUCGCAUGGAGAACAAAGAGCUGUUGACGAACAUAAUGGCUCUGGGGAUUUUCGUCAUCACGGCCAUCGUGAACAUUGGCAUACAAUUAGCUACUGGUGUUAUCUAUGUUUUCAGCAAAGAGCAUAUAGCCCUUAUGCUUCUUAUGCUUAUUUUGCUUCUGUUACUGAUCUCCUCGGCCUUGACAAUACCAACUACAAAGUGUUAUUUGGACCUGAAAUAUAAGAAGAAGUAUAAGUUAGCAAACAAAGAGCGCAACACCAACUAUACAUGCGAAACUCAGAAACUGAAGGACGAGCUGAUGAGACUAUGGACCAUGGCCUAUACCUCGAACCCCCACUUUGUCGUGGGGCGCUUAGCGACAUGCACUGCUUCAGGAGGUUUCUGUCUUCUGAGCACAGUAAUUUAUGCUGAAGCCAUGCUUAGGUCUUACAUUCUCCAUACGACCUUCAGCUUUUGUAGUGGAGACUCUGAAUACAAGUGGUCCACAACCUUGAUUCUUGCAACUCACACAGUGGCAAUUGGAGUAGGAACUAUUGCACCAGCUUUUAGAUGGUUCAUAGCCAUAAAUUUCCACUGCCCCAAAAAAACAAAUAAUGCCUGCAAACUCACGUUGUUCAAAGUGGAGAACUACUGGAUCCGUAUACUGCUUAAGUGGAAAGAAUGCCCAUUGGAUUUCAGAAUUUGUGGCCGGCAUGGUAGAAAAUUUGCCUAUAGAACAAAGAACAAACUUCUUGAUUUCUGCAUUUGGAUGCAAAUUCUGAUGGUGUCACUCAGUAAGAUAGUUCGGGUCAUUUCCACUUGCUCUGUGAGUUGGUUACUGCUAGGCUGUCAUAAAGCAACCCGGAUGCUGAAAUGCAAAAAUCUGGUACCGAGUCAUGAUAUAGAGUCACAAUCUAGUCUGAAGACAGAUCUUAGCAACUAUGUUUUACACCUCGAAGGAGAGGAAAUUUUAAUUGAUCUGAUGCUGCAAAGCAACUGUGAUGUGGUAGACAAAUGGAUAGAGAUGGGGAAAAAGAAGCAGCCUAAACAUCUAAUACAAUUUUUGGAGAAAGUGAAGACAACACCUGGAUUCAGGGGCGUACAUGAAUUCGACCAUGUUGAAAUUCCUUCUUUAGAGUCGAAGGAACCUCCUAAUUGCUGGGCUCUUCCUAUAGUGACACUGACAAGCAUUGCAAUCGCACUUCCAGACAUUGAUUUCCACUUAAUCAAGGAAUUAAUAAGGAGUGUGUAUGAAGGUAUCAUGUACAUCAAUCUUGUUGAAGAGAAACUGGAUAGCAGAAAACACCUAGUACACAUCAGGAAGGCAGCAGAGUUAGUGUGGGUAGAAGUUGACUUAUGUUACAAGUGGCUGGACAUUGAUCUCCGCAAAGCUGCUACUCAAGGACAAAAUCCAAAAAGCGUGCUUGAAGGACUCUCUGAGAAAGCAAAGCUGAGAUUCGUCGAAUUCAGAAUGAAAGAUCUGAAUGGCUGUUUAAAGGAUUCACCUUCAAAAUGGCCUACCAAAAUGUUGGCAGCAAACUGUAUGUACAAAGUAUGUCAAACUCUACUGCAAAAUUCUGAUAGCGAAGCCUUUGAGAACAGCAAAACCAUGUUUGACAGAUUGUCAACCAUGAUUGCAGAUAUAACUAGUGCUUGUCUUACCAACCUUCAUAGAGUUAUAUCCAUGCAAUGUCACCAUGGUACCAUUGAAGAGAGAGCAGCAGGUGUCCGCUCUGCCAUCUUACUUCUGGGGAAAGCAGAGUGUGUUCUGCAUAUUCUUAGUUCACACCCACUUCCAAGUUCAGCCCCAGAUCAAUUGGAAAAAUUUGAUCANCCCCAAAAAAACAAAUAAUGCCUGCAAACUCACAUUGUUCAAAGUGGAGAACUACUGGAUCCGUAUACUGCUUAAGUGGAAAGAAUGCCCAUUGGAUUUCAGAAUUUGUGGCCGGCAUGGUAGAAAAUUUGCCUAUAGAACAAAGAACAAACUUCUUGAUUUCUGCAUUUGGAUGCAAAUUCUGAUGGUGUCACUCAGUAAGAUAGUUCGGGUCAUUUCCACUUGCUCUGUGAGUUGGUUACUGCUAGGCUGUCAUAAAGCAACCCGGAUGCUGAAAUGCAAAAAUCUGGUACCGAGUCAUGAUAUAGAGUCACAAUCUAGUCUGAAGACAGAUCUUAGCAACUAUGUUUUACACCUCGAAGGAGAGGAAAUUUUAAUUGAUCUGAUGCUGCAAAGCAACUGUGAUGUGGUAGACAAAUGGAUAGAGAUGGGGAAAAAGAAGCAGCCUAAACAUCUAAUACAAUUUUUGGAGAAAGUGAAGACAACACCUGGAUUCAGGGGCGUACAUGAAUUCGACCAUGUUGAAAUUCCUUCUUUAGAGUCGAAGGAACCUCCUAAUUGCUGGGCUCUUCCUAUAGUGACACUGACAAGCAUUGCAAUCGCACUUCCAGACAUUGAUUUCCACUUAAUCAAGGAAUUAAUAAGGAGUGUGUAUGAAGGUAUCAUGUACAUCAAUCUUGUUGAAGAGAAACUGGAUAGCAGAAAACACCUAGUACACAUCAGGAAGGCAGCAGAGUUAGUGUGGGUAGAAGUUGACUUAUGUUACAAGUGGCUGGACAUUGAUCUCCGCAAAGCUGCUACUCAAGGACAAAAUCCAAAAAGCGUGCUUGAAGGACUCUCUGAGAAAGCAAAGCUGAGAUUCGUCGAAUUCAGAAUGAAAGAUCUGAAUGGCUGUUUAAAGGAUUCACCUUCAAAAUGGCCUACCAAAAUGUUGGCAGCAAACUGUAUGUACAAAGUAUGUCAAACUCUACUGCAAAAUUCUGAUAGCGAAGCCUUUGAGAACAGCAAAACCAUGUUUGACAGAUUGUCAACCAUGAUUGCAGAUAUAACUAGUGCUUGUCUUACCAACCUUCAUAGAGUUAUAUCCAUGCAAUGUCACCAUGGUACCAUUGAAGAGAGAGCAGCAGGUGUCCGCUCUGCCAUCUUACUUCUGGGGAAAGCAGAGUGUGUUCUGCAUAUUCUUAGUUCACACCCACUUCCAAGUUCAGCCCCAGAUCAAUUGGAAAAAUUUGAUCAUUGGCGUACACAUAGCCAAGAGGUAGACCACCGCUCCUGCAGUAGUAGUUCAUCCGACCUGGAUUUAACUAUGGACUCAGAAGCAAAUAACUGAAAGUUCUUACAACUCGUAUUACACAAAAAAUCUUGUAUAAUUUUUUUAGACUAACUAACUAAUAAUUAAUUAGAGUUGUUUGAAAAGUAGAAGAAAUGAUAUCACUCAGCAUUGAAAUUUCCCUAUCAACCAUUAAAAGAUAUAUACGAAUAUUACUCACCUAAGAAAUUUCGAUCAAAGAAGGGGAAGGUGAUAACAACAAACAUUGUUCAAGCUGCAAUUAAGACAAAGAAAUUAUAUAAUACUUGAACUAAAAAUAAUACAAUCUGAGCAUAGUUAAAAGAUUAAUGUUACUUGCAAAGUCAAGACAACUCCAAUCAUUCUUCUUUAAAAACGCGUAGAUAAGUCAAAAUGCUUGUAUAUGCCAGUUUUAUCAACAUGUAAGUUUAGUCAAAUACCUUGUGAUUGUCUGUAACAUCAUUCGUGUUAUUGCAUAACUAAAUCAUAAUUAACUGCCUCAAUCUACAGUAAAUAUAAUGGCACUUUGCAAGAAACUUCAUAAGGUUGACCGGGUAAACAUUGAAAUGAAGUGGGAUAAAAGAAAAAAGAAAAGAGCUUGAUGACUUGGAAAAUUAAUCAAGAGCCAACAUAUUCAGAUGGUAAGUUACAUACCAUGAGCUAUGAUAUGAGUAACAAUGUGGAAGAUUGAGGUGUAUUUGAGUUUAGUCAGUCAAGUAAAGGAGAGUUUAAGCGGUCAAUAGUUCGACGACAAAAUUAAUAUGGCGCGAAAGUUUAGAGGUGUAUUCAAUACUUCUCUUUUACAUUUUUAUUAUGUUUACUUGGGACAAAUUCAACUGUAAUAGCUUAGAUGAUCUAGUAUAUUACUCCAUGAACUAUGUUGUUUUUGUUAAUUAUCUAUUGUAUCUUGUAUUUUUGUUACUCCUUAUCCAGGACUGCUUUGAAUUGUUUUUCCAUGAGCCAAGGGUCUAUUGGAAACAGUGUAUCUACCUUUGAUAGGGGUAAGGUCUAGGUACACUCUACGGUUUCCACACACCACUUAAUGGGACUGCAUUACAUAUGUUGUUGACCUCUAUUAUGGAUUCUUAUUUUUGCUACACAUUGUCAUGUCUUACCCCUUUCUUUGUGGGAUAGAGAGACUCUUUCCAAAAGAUUAAGGAUGAUGUGAACUGAAAAGUCAACCCAUUUCCCUGGACAAUUUUUUUUUUCAGGGGUGAUUGGGAUUGGUUUGGGAGUGGCAAAAAAAAAAACAGAAGAAGAAAACUGGAGAUGGGAGAACUUGACUGACACUAAUUUCCACAACCAAAGAUUAUAAUAAAACAGUUCAAAGACUCCUCCUUGGUAAUAAUUUCUCUUCUAUAAUACCUUUGAACAAGAGACGAUAAUGCAGUGAAAUUCUACAGAUAAAUACUAUCUGGAGAAUAAUAUUUUCUACAUAAACAAUGGUCAGUUUUGGACCUAUCAUCUUAGCUGAUUAAUAAUGACCACGUUGUUUUCUAAGUAUUGUCUGACAAUCAUGGCAAUUAUCUGAGAAGCAGUCAGAUAUGAGAUUAAAAGAAAACCUUAAAAAUUAUAUCAUAUUCCACCAUUUUCACUAAAAAAUUCAUGUCAAAGUCCUGGUUCACCUUGACUUGCUGAUUUUUUAAACAGCCUUUGACGUGUGAAUUCAUCUAUAUGACCAAAGCUCAACUGAUAGUGAAGGUGUUUUUAUAUUAGAAAGAAACAUCCAGGAAAUAGCUUGAAACAUACUGAAUGAAAUAAAUAUAUAUGGUUGUACCAAAAAGAACAACCUAGACAAUACCCCAGAGUAAAUAUUUCAAAUAGAAGUACAGAAGCUCUACCAUAGACAAAGAUUUCAGCUUUAAGACAGAGAUAACCAGCAAAGAGCUUGAAAUGCGAUGGGAAAGAUUGGUUGUACCGUAGAUGGCAACUUAGAUGACUCAAAAUUCAGCGCACCAAUGCCAUGGAUUGGUAUCUAUAUAGCAGCAGCAUCUGCAGCUUGUGCAUUGGGGAUGGCAAUGGAUGCCUUUCAUGGACUGCGCCAUAGAAAAUUCUGGUUUCCUUGCAACAACUCUCUCAACGCUACAACCUUGACACUCCUAGCUAUUUCCACCAAGUUAUCGGUUGAUCUAAACACCUCCAUGCCUCGUCAACAAGAUCAGCUGACAAAACUGAGCAGUGCUGCUCUAACUUGUACGAUAAUUGCCAACUUUAUGCCUUCUUUAGGACUCAUGGAGAAUAAAGAGCUUUUGAUGAACACAACGGCAUUGGUAAUUUUGGUUAUCACAGCCAUCGUGAACAUUGGCAUACAAUUAGCUACUGGUGUAAUCUAUGUUUUCUUCAAACAGCAUAUAGCCCUCAUGUUUCUCAUGCUUGUUUUGCUUCUACUACUGAUCUCAUCAGCUGUGGCAAUACCAACUACAAAGCGUUAUUUGGACCUGAAAUAUAACAAUAAGUACAAGGUAGUAAAUAACGAAUGCAGCAUCAUGGAUACAUGCACAACUGAGAAACUUAAGGACAAUCUGAUGAAAUUUUGGACAAUGGCCUAUACCUCUUGCCCCCAUUUCUUGGGGGGUCGCUUAGUAACAUGCACGGCAGCUGGAGUUUUUUGCCUUAUGAGCACAAUAAUUUAUGCUGAAGUGUUGUUGAGAUCUGUCUUCCUCCAUAAGAGCUUCACUUUUUGCAGUGGAGACUCUGAAUACAAGUGGUCUACAACCUGGAUUCUUAUAACUCGCACAGUGGCAAUAGGAGUAGGAACUGUCGCACCAUCUUUUAGAUGUUCAGAAUCAUAAAUUUCCGCUGCCCCAAGAAAGCAAAUGAUGCCUGCAAACUCAAAUUCUUCGAAGUGGAGAACUAUUGGAUCCAGAUCCUGCUUCAGUGGAAAGAACGCCCAUUGGAUUUCAGAUAUUGUGGUUGGCAUGGUAGAAAAUUUACUCAUAAAUUAAAGGACUUCCCUCUUGAUUUGUGUAUUUUGGUGCAAAUGAUGAUGGUGUCACUUAGUAAGCUAGUCCGAGUCAUUUCCAUUUUCUCUGUACGCCUGUCACGGAUAAGCUGUCAGAAAGCAAUCAAGAUGCUAAAAUGCAACAGUAUGGUGUCGAGUCUUGAUACAGAGUUAGGGACCCAAACCAGUUCAAAACCAGAUCUUAGCUGCUAUGCUCUACACCUUGAAGGAGAGGAAUUAUUAAUUGAUCUGAUGAUGCAAGAAAACAGUGAUCUAAUAGGUCAUUGGAUUGGGAUAGGAAAAAAGCAGCAGCCUAAACAUCUUCUACGACUUCUGGAGAAACUGAAAUCAUCGCCUGGAUUCACAGGAGUGCAUGAAUUUGACAGCGGUCACAUUCCUUCACUAAACUCAGAGGAUCCUCCUAAUAGCUGGGCUCUCCCUGUAGUGACACUAACAAGCAUAGCAAUUGCACUUCCAAACAUUGACUUUCAUUCAAUCAAGGAACUAAUCAGUGGUUUGCAUGAAAGUCUCAUGUAUAUCAAAACAGUGGAAGAUAACCUGGAUGCAAGGAAAGAUCUUGCAAACAUCAGACGGGCAGCAGAAUUGGUGUGGUUAGAAGUUGAUCUAUGUUACAAGUGGUUGGAUGUGGAUCUCCGAAAGACAGCCACUGAAGAACAAAAUCCAAAAGAUAUGCUUGAAAGUCUCUCUGAGAAAGCAACGCAGAUAUUCAUCGAAUUCGGAAAGAAAGAUUCAACCAUUCGUCCAAAGGAAUCACCUUCAAAUUGGCCUACCGAUAUGUUGGCAGCCAACUGUAUGUACAGAAUCUGUCAAACUCUUUUGGUAAGUUCUGAUAGCAUAGAGUUUGAGAACAGCAAAAUCAUGUUUGAUAAAUUGUCAAACAUGAUCACGGAUAUAACAGGCGCUUGUCUUACCAACCUACCAAGAGUUAUACAAUGCCACCACGGGACCAUUAAGGAGCGAUCAAAAGGUGUCCGUUCUGCUGUCAUACUUUUCGGAGAAGCAGAGAAUAUUCUGGAAAUUCUUCGUUCACAGCCACUUCCAAGUUCAGUACCAGAAGAAUUGGCAAAAAUUGAUCAUUGGUAUACACUUAGCAAAGAGGAAAACUACCUCUCCUGUAGUAGUAGUUCAACCUCAAAUUGUACUUCAACUCCCCAAAGUUCAUCCGACUUGUAUCUAACUAUGGGCUAAGAAACAAAUUCCAUCUUGUUUGGAUGCUGAUUACAUUUGUAUCUUACUGUUUUGAUGAAUACAAUGUUUGGAGAGAUUGUAUCAUUUUCCUUUGUUACAUUAUGUCAUACAUCGUCAAUUUGAAGAAUAAACUGAUAAAAAAAAAAAAGAGGGGGUACCAUGUAGAGUUAUUAUUAAAAGAUUGGAUAAAGAAUAAAAUAGUAUUAUUAUAUUAUAAUAUAAUAAGAAAAGAAAAGGUAACGAUCUGAUCACAUCGAAUCAAUGAGAAUUAUCGUCAUUAUAUAACAAUAGAAUUUAAUGAUAUACAAUGAAAUGUAAGUAACAAUCAAUAAAACAUUGUAUUUAAACUAACAACUAUCAUACAAUACAAUACAAUAGGUAACAACCAUCCAAACAAACUGUGAAAGUGAGGGAAAAAAGGCAGGUUAAGUUCUGUUACAAUAGUAUCAUAUUUGUUUCACAUCAUUUCUCCAGCUUGUUCUCUAAAUAGUAACUCAAUUACUAUUUCCCUUUCAACAUACUAGAGAAAUAUUCCAACUUAAUCAACAGUAUAACAAAAUAUACAGUGAUGGGCUGCAAUAAUUCUCUAAUAUAGCACAGAAAAAACCAGCAAUUUCAAACUUUGUCAUUGGUGAAUUUAUCCAAUACAACCAGUCCUCCAUUUUAGUCUAACAUCAUCUUGAGUGUAACACUAACAGAAACCUCUUUGAAUUACAACAACAUCCCAACCCUAUGAGUCUUAUUCAUAAGUCAUAUAAAACAUUCCUAGCACUACAAAUAGAAGAACAGAACAGAUUUUUAUUUGGAUCAGGUAAAAGUAAAAAUUCAUGACCAAAUAGCACCACAAGGUGCUUAAAUUGUACGGACAAAAGUAAACACCAGUGUUACUCAACUAGUACAUUUCUGAAUAUUGGAAUUCAGAAACCACCUCAUGUAGACUAUGCCCACAACAUCUAUAUUCAGAUUCCUAAUUGUAACUGUACUAAUGAAUUCUAUGAGUUCUUCACUAUUUUCUAUACAUUCAGCCAAAAACAGACAGCUUAGGUGAGUUUGGUAUCAGCUGCUUUAGAUUGAAUACAUACACACCAUCCUCUCCAGACCCCACUUGUGGGAACGCUGGGUAUGUUGAAGUCCAAAAACAUGCCCCGAUGCUCUGAAGCCAUCAUAUAGUGCACAGCUAGGUGGUUGUUACCCUCCCUUCCUACAGAAAGAUUCAAUCUUUCACAUCUCUUGUACUCUUUCUUCCUCCAAAACCAUCAAAGAACCAAAUGCCUGAAAUAAAAAGAAGAAACAUUGCAGGGCCAAAAAGAAAAAAGACAAAUACAAAACCGAGAACUGAAAUAAGAAAAAAUGUAAAGAUUCAAGGUUGAAAGGAAGAAAUAACUAAUCACACAUGAAACAAUAUUUAUACAAUUCAAUGAUUCCACAGAUGACAAAAGCCUGACAGGAAGCCAUCAGUCAAUGUCAAUUUUNAAAAGAUUGGAUAAAGAAUAAAAUAGUAUUAUUAUAUUAUAAUAUAAUAAGAAAAGAAAAGGUAACGAUCUGAUCACAUCGAAUCAAUGAGAAUUAUCGUCAUUAUAUAACAAUAGAAUUUAAUGAUAUACAAUGAAAUGUAAGUAACAAUCAAUAAAACAUUGUAUUUAAACUAACAACUAUCAUACAAUACAAUACAAUAGGUAACAACCAUCCAAACAAACUGUGAAAGUGAGGGAAAAAAGGCAGGUUAAGUUCUGUUACAAUAGUAUCAUAUUUGUUUCACAUCAUUUCUCCAGCUUGUUCUCUAAAUAGUAACUCAAUUACUAUUUCCCUUUCAACAUACUAGAGAAAUAUUCCAACUUAAUCAACAGUAUAACAAAAUAUACAGUGAUGGGCUGCAAUAAUUCUCUAAUAUAGCACAGAAAAAACCAGCAAUUUCAAACUUUGUCAUUGGUGAAUUUAUCCAAUACAACCAGUCCUCCAUUUUAGUCUAACAUCAUCUUGAGUGUAACACUAACAGAAACCUCUUUGAAUUACAACAACAUCCCAACCCUAUGAGUCUUAUUCAUAAGUCAUAUAAAACAUUCCUAGCACUACAAAUAGAAGAACAGAACAGAUUUUUAUUUGGAUCAGGUAAAAGUAAAAAUUCAUGACCAAAUAGCACCACAAGGUGCUUAAAUUGUACGGACAAAAGUAAACACCAGUGUUACUCAACUAGUACAUUUCUGAAUAUUGGAAUUCAGAAACCACCUCAUGUAGACUAUGCCCACAACAUCUAUAUUCAGAUUCCUAAUUGUAACUGUACUAAUGAAUUCUAUGAGUUCUUCACUAUUUUCUAUACAUUCAGCCAAAAACAGACAGCUUAGGUGAGUUUGGUAUCAGCUGCUUUAGAUUGAAUACAUACACACCAUCCUCUCCAGACCCCACUUGUGGGAACGCUGGGUAUGUUGAAGUCCAAAAACAUGCCCCGAUGCUCUGAAGCCAUCAUAUAGUGCACAGCUAGGUGGUUGUUACCCUCCCUUCCUACAGAAAGAUUCAAUCUUUCACAUCUCUUGUACUCUUUCUUCCUCCAAAACCAUCAAAGAACCAAAUGCCUGAAAUAAAAAGAAGAAACAUUGCAGGGCCAAAAAGAAAAAAGACAAAUACAAAACCGAGAACUGAAAUAAGAAAAAAUGUAAAGAUUCAAGGUUGAAAGGAAGAAAUAACUAAUCACACAUGAAACAAUAUUUAUACAAUUCAAUGAUUCCACAGAUGACAAAAGCCUGACAGGAAGCCAUCAGUCAAUGUCAAUUUUUUUGUGUUAUUCACAAUAUCCACUAUACCCCAUGUAUACAAUACUAUGCAAGUUAGUAUAAAGUAGUAGUACCCACCCAUUUAUGUUGAGAAGUUAGGACUGGAGUUGUUAGAAAGUUAGUAUGUUUUCUGGAAUUUAGUAUUCAAUUCCUCGUCCGGUAAUUCACUCACGCAUUUUCCUUUUCCCUACCCAAAACUUAAAAAAAAAAAUUAGUAUAAUAUUCACUUGAGUCACUCUGAAUGUUGUUGGGAAACAAUAGUAGAUUUUAUUAGGUAGAAUUAAACUUGUGUAAUGCACAUGUUUAGAAAAUGCAUGUCGCAGAGAUGAGGAUGUUGAGAUGGAUGUGUGGCCACACCAGGAGUGAUAAGAUUAAGAAUGAGACCAUUCGGGAGAAGCUAGAGGUGACCCCUGUGGCUGAUAAGAUGAGGAAAGCGAGACUGUGAUGGUUUGGACAUGUGCACAGAAGGAGUACCGAUGCUCCUGUUAAAAGGUGUGAGAGGUUGGUUUUAGGAGACACACGAAGGGGUAGAGAUAGACCGAAGAAGUAAUGGGGGAGGUGAUCAGACAGGAUUUGGCAAAACUCGAUCUCGCCGAAGACAUGACCUUAGAUAGAAAGGAGUGGAGGUCGCGAAUUAGACUAGCAGACUAAUUGGUUAGUAAGCUUAGGUGGAUGUCUAGCCUUGGGGUAUAGUAGGGUAGCCGAAGUAGUCGUGUUUUAUAUCAUGUGUUAUCAUUAUUAGUCCUAUGUGUUUAAAUUUAUCGUAUUUACAUAUUGUUAUGUGUUUUUCGUUAUUAGUCGCCCUUCCUAUUUCAUUUUCUUUACUUUUUGUCAUAUCUAGGUUAUUAUGCUUAUGGGUUUUUGAGACGAGGGUUUCUAGGAAACAGCCUCUCUACUUCUAGGAGGUAGUAGUAAAGUCUGCGUACAUUCUACCCUCCCAAACCCUACUUACGGGAUUCCACUGGGUAUUUUGUUGUUGUUGUUGUUUAGAAUUAAACUUGUGUAAAUUUCAUUAGACGCUCGAACUGUAAUCGUGUUGCAUUUAAGUGUCGUCUACAAAUAUAUAGCCAGACAAAUAAUAGCUCGGUAUCUUAAAAUUCAAUAAAUAGAAAAAGUAAUUCAACAUGACAGAACCUUAAGAAAAGUCAUCCAUGGCUGGCUGUGUGAUCUAGAUUUUUCCACUAGUGCAAUUUCCAAUGAUGUUGGAGUCAGACAAGAAAAGUCUAUUGAAGAAGGUGCAGACUGAAAAGUCAAACCAUUUCUUUGGAUAGGUUGUUAUUGUUAGGGUGGGGAAACAUGGGAAAACCCCUAUUAAUUGAUGUAUGGUAUUAUUUUAAGUUUUAAAAAAUGAUUUGGGGAAUAAGUAAUUAAAGUUAAUAGUAAAAUAUGAAAAAAAUAAUUAUAUUUUCUUGAGAUGUUAAAAUGACAGGAAAAAUAAAAAUUUAUUUGAAAAUUAUAAACAAGCAAAAAUGAACAGGAAAGUACCUUAUUGAACAAACAGUGGUAUGGUAGACCCAUCAAGUGAGCUAAUCAACGUGGUCACCAAGUUUGUAUUGUACCUACUGUCCCACCUUUGACUAGCAGACAAUGUUGGAAGCCACUUGGGAACCCCCUGGAUAUAGAUUCUUUAGAUAAACAUCAAUAAUUUCUAAACAUGUGUUUGACUUUGUUAUAAUAAACACAUCAGAGGAACCCCUCCAGCAAUCAAAGCCAAUUAUAACUCACCAACUUUCAACCAAAAACAUAUUGGAAAAAAUAAGGAUUAACACAAAAUAAAUAUGGCAUAAAAAUAAAAAAUGAGAAAAAUAAUGAUACCAAGAAUUUUACGUGAAAACCCUUCUAAAUAAGGGGAAAAAAACCACAGACCAAGAGGAGCAACUGAUAUUACUAUACUAAGAAAUUUUACACCGUGUAGGUACGAGUACAAUACUCCUAAAAGACUUCUACACACACAAAAAAAUUACUCUCUUUUGAUUUUUCACCUUACCAAAAUAUCGCUCGCACUCUAUUUUUCUUCACAGACUAAUUUUAUUAAAUAGCCUAUGGUAUACCUCACAGAUAAAAAAUACUCAAUGUAUUUUUUUUCCUCUCUGUGUGGCUCUCUUUCUUUUUUCCUCUCGUUGGUGUGUUGAAAUGAAGGAACAAUUAAGUUCCUUUUAUAGAUGAAAAUUUUGCCUCUUGAUGUCAUCAAUGACAUCAAUGGCAAAUCAAAACCAAUGUGAACUUGUGUUGCCAUCUUCAAACUUUGCUGCAAAGCAGCAAUGUUUGAAUUCAAAAAUGGGGGCUGGAACCCCACAAAUCUCCUCCUCCAGACCCAUUUCUAGAAGGAGGUAUCUUUCUUCUUUUCAGAGAGAACUCAUGCCGACAAGUUCUUUACAUAAUUCAAACUUAUCUCUUGUCACAACCUUGGUUAGCAUAUCUGCAGGAUUUUCAUUUGUAGAGAUCUUUUCAAUGUGCAUAGAUUUUUCCUCUAUUUUUUCUCUAAUCCAGUGGUAUCUCACAUAUAUGUGUUUUGUCCUUGCAUGGUAUAUCGAAUUCUUGCUCAAGUCGCACUUUGACUAUCACAAUAGACGGCGUACUCUAUCUGCUGCAACCCAAGCUCUUGAAGGAAUUGUUUAAGCCAUAUCAUUUCUUUGCUAGCUUUUGUAGCAGCAAUAUACUCAGCUUCAGUUGUAGAUAGUGCAACACACUUCUGCAACUUUGACUGUCAUGAUAUAGCUCCCUCUGAAAAAGUGAACAGAUAUCCAGUAGUGGAUUUUCUGUUAUCAAUGUCACCAGCCAUACUAGCAUCUGUAUAGCCCUUCAAGAUUGGACUAGAGCCUCUAAAACACAAACAUUCAUCUGAGCUUCCUCUCAGAUACAUGAGUAUCCACUUCACAGCUUUCCAAUGCUCUUUUCCUGGAUUAUCAAGAAAUCUGCUUACAACACCAACUGCAUGAGCAAUAUCGGGUCUAGUACAUACCAUUGCAUACAUUAGACUUCCAACGACAGAGGAAUAUGAAAUUUUGGCCAUAUUCUCUUUUUCCUCCUUUGUUGUUGGACACAUUUUCUUGCUCAACUUCAUAUGACUAGCAAGAGAUGUGCUAACAGGCUUAGCAUUCUUCAUAUUGAAGCGCUCCAACACACGUUCAAUAUAUUUCUUUUGUGACAAAUAAAUCUUUCUUUCAUCUUUGAAACGAGUGAUCCUCAUGCCCAAAAUUUGUUUGGAAUGGCCCAAGUCUUUCAUAGAAAAAGACUUACAUAACUCAUUCUUCAACUCGUCAAUUUUGGAAGUAUCCUUGCCCACAAUCAGCAUAUCAUCCACAUAUAGCAAUAGAAUGAUAAAAUCAUUAUCAGAAAAUUUUUGUACAAGCACACAAUGGUCUGAGGAAGUCUUCUUGUAGCUUUGCUCCCUCAUGACAGAUUCAAACUUUUUGUACCACUGUCUGGGAGCUUGCUUUAGGCCAUAUAGACUCUUUUUGAGUUUGCACACAAAAUUUUCUUUACCUUUUACUUUGAAGCCCUCGGGUUGUUCCAUAUAAAUUUUCUCUUCUAGGUCACCGUGAAAAAAAGUUGUUUUCACAUCCAUCUGCUCAAUCUCCAAAUUUAGACUAGCAGCCAGACCAAGAACUGUACGAAUGAAGGACAUUUUCACGACAGGUGAAAAUAUUUCAUCAAAGUCAAUGCCCUUUCUUUGACCGAAUCCCUUAACAACUAAUCUAGCUUUGUAUCUGGGCUUCUGAGUGUGUUCUUCAAUUUUAAUUUUGAAUACCCACUUAUUCUUUAAAGCUUUCAUGCCCUUAGGCAAUUUCACCAACUCAUAAGUAUGGUUCUCAUGCAAGGAUUUCAUCUCAUCUUGCAUGGCCUCUAUCCAUUGACCCUUGUGUUCAUCUUCCAUGGCCUCCUUAUAACAUUCAGGUUCUCCCCCAUCAGUGAGUAUCAUAUACUCACUUGAUGAAUAACGAGAUGAGAGAACACGUUGUCGUGUGGACCUCUUGAGAGAAAUAUUUGAUUCGUCCACAACUUCAUGAGCUAGAGGAUCAUUAAUAACACCAUCAUUAUUGUUAUCAAUAUCAACAUGUUGAUCCUGAACAUGAUCCUGGGCUUCAUCAUGAUCAUCGAGCCCACCAACAUCAUGCACACUUGCAUAAGGUAUUUCAUCAAUAUGAACCACACCAUCAGAACUGGAGGAUUCCAGCUUCUUCGCUUUCUCAAUGUCUUCAAUUGUUUGAUUCUCCAUGAAGGCGAUAUCGCGGCUUCUCACAAGAUUCUUUUCAAUUGGAUCAUAUAGCCUGUAACCAAAUUCAUCAAGGUCAUAUCCAACGAAGAUGCACUGUCUUGUCUUGGCAUCUAACUUUGAUCUCUCGUCUUUUGGCACAUGUACAAAUGUUUUGCAACCAAACACCCUCAAAUGGUCAUAGGAAACAUCCUUGCCAUACCAAAUUUUGUUUGGGAACAUCACCUUGCAAAGCCACAGUAGUAGAUAGACUAAUCACAUGUGCAGUAGUCAAUAAUGCCUCCCCCAAAAGAAGUUUGGCAACUUUGCUUCAGAAAGCAAACAUCUAACUCUUUCCAUCAAGGUCUUGCUCAUCCUCUCUGCCAAACCAUUAAGCUGAGGAGUCUUCUGGUGUCUAAUACCUUGAUGCUUGCAAUAUUCGUCAAACAGUCCAUAAUAUUCACCACCGUUAUCAGUACGAAUACAUUUCAGUUUCUUUCUAGUUUCUCUCUCAACUGAAGCUUGAAACUACUUAAAGACACCUAACACUUGGUCUUUAGUCUUCAAGACGUAGACCUAAAGUUUUCUCGAGCAAUCAUCAAUGAAAGUGACAAAAUAGAGGGCACCACCCAAAGUCUUUGUCUUCAUUGGACCACAUAAAUCAGAGUGCACUAAUUCAAGCAACUUUGUCUUUCUUGAAGGAGGGUUAGACUUGAAGGAAACUCUAUUUUGCUUUUCAGCCAGGCAGUGCUCACAUUUUUCUAAUUUAGCACUUUUGCAAUCUGACAACAAUUUCUUCUUGGCUAGAACAUUGAGUUCUUCUCACUGAUGUGGUUCAGUCUCUUGUGCCAUAACGUUGAAGAUUUAUCGUCCUCGACUGCAUUUACCAUAUUGGCAUAAGUGGAAGUCGUAGUUCAGUAUAGACCAUGACGUUUUUCACCACGAGCCAUAACCAAGGAACCCUUAAUGAGUUUCCAUUUUGCUCCACCAUUGGUACUGACAUACCCUUCAUCAUCUAAUAUCCCAACAGAAAUGAGAUGUAGACAAAUACCAGGUGUAUACUUCACAUUAUUCAGAAUUAGCUUAGUUUCAGCACUAGUUUCUAAACAGAUUGUACCAAUCCCAACCACUUUAGACACAGUCUCAUUAUUCAUACUCAAGGUUCCAAAGUCACCUGGAGUAUAAGCAGAGAAAAAAUCUUUCAUGAAUGUCACAUGAGAUACGGUACCAGUGUCCACAACCCAACUUGACUCAUCACAAAAAAUAUUUAUCAGAUUAGCAUCAAGAACAGUGAGAAGAUCUUCGGUGGCAAUGGUGGCAAGGCAAUUUUCAUUGUCUUCUUCUUUAUUUUCUUCUUUUUCUCUAUUCUCCCUCUUCAAUUUCCGGCAGAACUUCUUUGUGUGCCCAUUGGUACUGACAUACCCUUCAUCAUCUAAUAUCCCAACAGAAAUGAGAUGUAGACGAAUACCAGGUGCAUAUUUCACAUUGUUCAGAACUAACUUAGUUUCAGCACUAGUUUCUAAACAGAUUGUACCAAUCCCAACCACUUUAGACACAGUCUCAUUAUCCAUACUCAAGGUUCCAAAGUCACCUGGAGUAUAAGCAGAGAAAAAAUCUUUCAUGAAUGUCACAUGAGAUACGGUACCAGUGUCCACAACCCAACUUGACUCAUCACAAAAAAUAUUUAUCAGAUUAGCAUCAAGAACAGUGAGAAGAUCUUCGGUGGCAAUGGUGGCAAGGCAAUUUUCAUUGUCUUCUUCUUUAUUUUCUUCUUUUUCUCUAUUCUCCCUCUUCAAUUUCCGGCAGAACUUCUUUGUGUGCCCAUUGGUACUGACAUACCCUUCAUCAUCUAAUAUCCCAACAGAAAUGAGAUGUAGACGAAUACCAGGUGCAUAUUUCACAUUGUUCAGAACUAACUUAGUUUCAGCACUAGUUUCUAAACAGAUUGUACCAAUCCCAACCACUUUAGACACAGUCUCAUUAUCCAUACUCAAGGUUCCAAAGUCACCUGGAGUAUAAGCAGAGAAAAAAUCUUUCAUGAAUGUCACAUGAGAUACGGUACCAGUGUCCACAACCCAACUUGACUCAUCACAAGAAAUAUUUAUCAGAUUAGCAUCAAGAACAGUGAGAAGAUCUUCGGUGGCAAUGGUGGCAAGGCAAUUUUCAUUGUCUUCUUCUUUAUUUUCUUCUUUUUCUCUAUUCUCCCUCUUCAAUUUCCGGCAGAACUUCUUUGUGUGCCCAUUGGUACUGACAUACCCUUCAUCAUCUAAUAUCCCAACAGAAAUGAGAUGUAGACGAAUACCAGGUGCAUAUUUCACAUUGUUCAGAACUAACUUAGUUUCAGCACUAGUUUCUAAACAGAUUGUACCAAUCCCAACCACUUUAGACACAGUCUCAUUAUCCAUACUCAAGGUUCCAAAGUCACCUGGAGUAUAAGCAGAGAAAAAAUCUUUCNNNNNNNNNNNNNNNNNNNNNNNNNNNNNNNNNNNNNNNNNNNNNNNNNNNNNNNNNNNNNNNNNNNNNNNNNNNNNNNNNNNNNNNNNNNNNNNNNNNNNNNNNNNNNNNNNNNNNNNNNNNNNNNNNNNNNNNNNNNNNNNNNNNNNNNNNNNNNNNNNNNNNNNNNNNNNNNNNNNNNNNNNNNNNNNNNNNNNNNNNNNNNNNNNNNNNNNNNNNNNNNNNNNNNNNNNNNNNNNNNNNNNNNNNNNNNNNNNNNNNNNNNNNNNNNNNNNNNNNNNNNNNNNNNNNNNNNNNNNNNNNNNNNNNNNNNNNNNNNNNNNNNNNNNNNNNNNNNNNNNNNNNNNNNNNNNNNNNNNNNNNNNNNNNNNNNNNNNNNNNNNNNNNNNNNNNNNNNNNNNNNNNNNNNNNNNNNNNNNNNNNNNNNNNNNNNNNNNNNNNNNNNNNNNNNNNNNNNNNNNNNNNNNNNNNNNNNNNNNNNNNNNNNNNNNNNNNNNNNNNNNNNNNNNNNNNNNNNNNNNNNNNNNNNNNNNNNNNNNNNNNNNNNNNNNNNNNNNNNNNNNNNNNNNNNNNNNNNNNNNNNNNNNNNNNNNNNNNNNNNNNNNNNNNNNNNNNNNNNNNNNNNNNNNNNNNNNNNNNNNNNNNNNNNNNNNNNNNNNNNNNNNNNNNNNNNNNNNNNNNNNNNNNNNNNNNNNNNNNNNNNNNNNNNNNNNNNNNNNNNNNNNNNNNNNNNNNNNNNNNNNNNNNNNNNNNNNNNNNNNNNNNNNNNNNNNNNNNNNNNNNNNNNNNNNNNNNNNNNNNNNNNNNNNNNNNNNNNNNNNNNNNNNNNNNNNNNNNNNNNNNNNNNNNNNNNNNNNNNNNNNNNNNNNNNNNNNNNNNNNNNNNNNNNNNNNNNNNNNNNNNNNNNNNNNNNNNNNNNNNNNNNNNNNNNNNNNNNNNNNNNNNNNNNNNNNNNNNNNNNNNNNNNNNNNNNNNNNCAUACUCAAGGUUCCAAAGUCACCUGGAGUAUAAGCAGAGAAAAAAUCUUUCAUGAAUGUCACAUGAGAUACGGUACCAGUGUCCACAACCCAACUUGACUCAUCACAAGAAAUAUUUAUCAGAUUAGCAUCAAGAACAGUGAGAAGAUCUUCGGUGGCAAUGGUGGCAAGGCAAUUUUCAUUGUCUUCUUCUUUAUUUUCUUCUUUUUCUCUAUUCUCCCUCUUCAAUUUCUGGCAGAACUUCUUUGUGUGCCCUUGUAUACCACAAUGAUAGCACUUAACAUUUUUAAGUUUGCCUCUAGAUUUGCUCAUGUUGUGUUCUCUAUUCAGAGAAUCAUGAUUUUUGUUUCUCCCCCUAGAACCUGCUACUAGGACAUCUGACGAAAAAGAACCUUGAGAUUUUCUUCUCAUCUCUUCGUUCAACACACUGCUCUUGGCAAAAUCCAUAGAGAUCAUACUAUCCGGAGCAGAAUUUGAUAAUGACAUUCUAAAUGUUUUUCAAGAAUCUGGUAGGGAACCAAGUAGAAGCAAGCCUUGAAUUUCUUCAUCAAACUUAAUGCCCAUUGCAGACAACUGGUUCAUGAUUCCUUGAAAAUUAUUCAAGUGAUCUGUCAUCGGAGAACCAUCAAUAUAUUUUAGACUCAACAUCUGCUUUAUCAAGAACAUUUUAUUGUUCCCAGUCUUCCGAGCAUACAAGCUUUCAAGAUGCUCCCAUAGGGUACGAGCAUGUGUUUCCCCACAAAUAUGGUUCAACACAUUAUCGUCAACUCAUUGUCUAAUAAAUCCACAGACCUGUUUAUGCAACAGAUUCUACUCAUCUAUUUUAUUUUCAGACUUUUUAGUGGUAAAGACUGGUUGGUAAAAAUUCUUGACAUAAAGCAAAUCUUUCAUUUUUUCCUUUUCAAAUGGCAUAAUUAGUGUCAUUCAAAGUGAUCAUUCUACUGUAUUGGCUUCCAUUAUUUUCCCCAAAAAAUUGUUAACCAAAGUAAUUCUUUUCUGAUGUGAAAGUUCAGACUAUGCUACAACCACAGAGCAUACUCAGAUAAAAUCUGGACUCUGAUACCAGUUUGUUGGAAAAAACAAGGAUUAACACAAAAUAAAUAUGGCACAAAAAUGAAAAAUGAGAAAAAUAAUAACACCAAGAAUUUUACGUGAAAACCCUUCUAAAUAAGGGGAAAAAAACCACAGACCAAAUGGAGCAACUGAUAUUACUAUAGUAAGGAAUUUUACACCAUGUAGGUAUGAGUACAAUACUCCUAAAAGACUUCUACACACACAAAAGAAUUACUCUCUUUUGAUUUUUCACCUUAUCAAAAAUAUCGCUCACACUUUAUUUUUUUCACAGACUAAUUUUAUUAAAUAGUCUAUGAUAUACCUCACAGAUAAAAAAUACUCAAUAUAUUUUUUUCCUCUCUGUGAUUCUCUUUCUUUUUUCCUCUCGUUGGUGUGUUGAAAUGAAGGAACAAUUAAGUUCCUUUUAUAGAUGAAGAUUUUGCCUCUUUCUUUUUUCCUCUCGUUGGUGUGUUGAAAUGAAGGAACAAUUAAGUUCCUUUUAUAGAUGAAGAUUUUGCCUCUUGAUAUCAUUGAUGGCAUUGGCAAAUCAAAACCAAUUUGAACUUGUGUUGCCAUGUUCAAACUUUGCUGCAUCAAUGUUUGAAUUCAAAAAUGGGGGCUGGAACCCCACAAAACAAUCAUGUCAAAGUCCACCGUCCAUCUUUGCCGACUUUUCUAACAUCACUCAAUAGGUGAAAUCACCCACGACCAAAUCAAGUGACCAAAUUUCAGUGAAUAUGCUACGAGUAAAUCUAGGAAAACACUGGAAAUAGCUUGAAAGAGAGUCAAAGAAACAAAUACUAAGAGAAGAACACCCCACAAGAAAUUCUCAAGUACUUCAUCAUAGAAAAAGAUUUCAGCUUUCAAAUGAGAUGGGAAAGAUUGGUUGCACCAUAGAUGGAAACCUAGAUGACUCGAAAUUCAGUGAGCCGAUGCCAUGGAUCGGUAUCUAUGUUGCAGCAGCAUCUGCAGCUUGUGCACUGGCCAUGCUGAUAGAUGUCCUUCGUGGUCUGCGCCGGAGGAAAUUCUGGUUUCCUUGCUACUACUUCUCUCUCAACGCUACAACCUUGACGCUCCUAACUGUUGCCACCAAGUUGUCUGUUGAUCUAAAUACCUCCAUGCCUCGCCGACAAGAUCAGCUGACAAAACUUAGCAGUGCUACUCUAAUCUGUACGGUAAUUGCUAAUUUUUUGCCUUCUUUAGGUCUCAUGGAGAACACAGAGCUGCUGAUGAACAUAAUGGCUCUGGGGAUUUUCGUCAUCACAGCCAUCGUGAACAUUGGCAUACAAUUAGGUACUGGUGUUAUCUACGUUUUCAGCAAAGAACACAUAGCCCUCAUGUUUCUUAUGCUUAUUUUGCUUCUGUUACUGAUCUCCUCGGCCUUGACAAUACCAACUACAAAGUGUUAUUUGGACCAGAAAUAUAAAAAGAGGUACAAGUUAGCAAACAAACAAAGCAACAUCAACUAUACAUGCAAAACUCAGAAACUGAAGGACGAGCUGAUGAGAUUAUGGACCAUGGCCUAUACCUCUAACCCCCACUUCGUGGUGGGGCGCUUAGCCACAUGCACUGCUUCGGGAGGUUUCUGCCUUCUGAGUACAGUAAUUUACGCUGAAGCCAUGCUUAGGUCUUACUUUCUCCAUUCGACCUUCAACUUUUGUAGUGGAGACUCUGAAUACAAGUGGUCCACAACCUUGAUUCUUGCAACUCACACAGUGGCAAUUGGAGUAGGAACUAUUGCACCAGCUUUUAGAUGGUUCAUAGCCAUAAAUUUCCACUGUCCCAAAAAAACAAAUAAUGCCUGCAAACUCACGCUGUUCAAAGUGGAGAACUACUGGAUUCGUAUACUGCUUAAGUGGAAAGAAUGCCCAUUGAAUUUCAGAAUUUGUGGCCGGCAUGGUAGAAAAUUUGCCCAUAAAACAAAGAACUUACUUCUUGAUUUCUGCAUAUGGAUGCAAAUUCUGAUGGUGUCACUCAGUAAGAUAGUCCGGGUCAUUUCCACUUUCUCUGUGAGUUGGUUACUGAUAAGCUGUCAAAAAGCAACCAGGAUGCUGAAAUGCAAAAAUGUGGUAUGGAGUCAUGAUAUAGAGUCACAAGCUACUCUAAAGCCAGAUCUUAGCCACUAUGUUUUACACCUUGACGGAGAGGAAGUAUUAAUUGAUUUGAUGCUGCGAAGCAACUGUGAUGUGGUAGACAAAUGGAUAGAGAUGGGGAAAAAGGAGCAGCCUAAACAUCUCAUACAAUUUUUGGAGAAAGUGAAGACAUCACCUGGAUUCAGGGGAGUGCACGAAUUCGACCAUGCUAAAAUUCCUUCUUUAGACUCGGAAGAACCUCC